rnacentral:rRNA from 1 species
UGGGGAAUCUUGCGCAAUGGACGAAAGUCUGACGCAGCCACGCCGCGUGAGUGAAGAAGGCCUUCGGGUUGUAAAGCUCUGUCACCUGGGACGAAAACACUGACGGUUAAUAGCCGUCGGAAUUGACGGUACCAGGGGAGGAAGCACCGGCUAACUUCGUGCCAGCAGCCGCGGUAAUACGAAGGGUGCAAGCGUUGCUCGGAAUUAUUGGGCGUAAAGGGUUGGUAGGUGGUCUUGUUUGUCUAAGGUGAAAUCCCAUGGCUUAACUGUGGAAGUGCCUUAGAAACGGCAAGACUAGAGUCCUAGAGGGGUUUGUGGAAUUCCCGGUGUAGCGGUGAAAUGCGUAGAGAUCGGGAGGAACACCAGCGGCGAAGGCGGCAAACUGGAUAGGCACUGACAC